GGAGCCGCCGCAGGCUCCCUCGGAAGCGGAAUGGAGGGUUGAGCAGAGCUGCUGUCGGAAGUCUUCGGCCCAGGGCGGUGACCUCCCAAGUGCUUGUCUCGACAGCGCCCGGAUACCCUGGGCGGCCAUGGCGCCGGCGCGCGAAAACUAUUCUCAACAAUAAAAGAACUUUUGGGGGAAUCACCAUCCCAGAACUCAAGCUGUAUUACAGAGCAAUCGUGAUAAAAACUGUAUGGUAUUGGUUCAGAGACAAGACAAGAGACAGUGGAAUAGAAUUGAAGACCCAGAAAUGAAUCCACCCACCUAUGGUCACUUGCUCUUUGACAAAGGAGAUAAAACCAUCCAAUGGAAAAAAAGACAGCAUUUACAACAAAUGGUGCUGGUUGAACUGGAGGUCAGCAUGUAGAAGAAUGCAAAUUGACCCAUUAUCUCCUUGUAUAAAGCUCAAGUCCAAGUGGAUCAAAGACUUCCACAUAAAACUAGAUACACGGAAAAUAAUAGAAGAGAAAAUGGGAAAGAGCCUCAAACACAUAGGCACAGAGGAUACUUUCCUGAACAGAACACCAAUGGCUUUUGCUCUAAGAUCAAGAAUUGGCAAACGGGACCUCAUAAAAUUGCAAAGCUUCUGUAAGGCAAAGGACACUCUCAAUAGGACAAACCAGCAACCAACAGAUUGGGAAAAGAGCUUACCAAUCUUACAUCUUAUAGAGGACUAAUAUCUAAUAUAUACAAAGAACUGAAGAAAUUAGACUCUAGAGAGUCAAAUAAUCCUAUUAAAAAUGGGGUAAAGAGCUAAACAAAGAAUUCUUAACUGAGGAAUACCGAAUGACUGAGAAGCACCUAAAGAAAUGCUCAACGUCCUUAGUCAUCAGGGAAAUGCAAAUCAAAACAACCCCCACCUCACACCAGUCAAAAUGGCUAAGAUCAAAAACUCAGGUGACAGUAAAUGCUGGCUAGGAUGUGGAGAAAGAGGAACACUCCACCACUGUUAAUGGGAUUGCAGACUGGUACAACCACUCUGGAAAUCAGUCUGGAGGUUCCUCAGAAAAUUGGACAUAGUACUACCUGAGGACCUAGCUAUAUCAUAUCCCCAAAAGAUGCCCCAACAUAUAACAAGGACACACGCUCCACUAUGUUCAUAGCAGCCUUAUUUAUAAUAGCCAGAAGCUGAAAAGAACCCAGAUGUCCUUCAACAGAGGAAUGGAUAAAGAAAAUGUGGAACGUUUACACAAUGGAGUACUACUCAGCUAUUAAAAACAAUGACUACAUGAAAUUCUUAGGCAAAUGGAUGGAACUAGAAAAUAUCAUCCUGAGUGAGAUAACCCAGUCACAAAAGAACACACAUGGUAUGCACUCACUGAUAAAUGGACAUUAGCUCCAAAGCUUGGAAUAUCUAAGAAAAAUUCACAGAUCAUAUGAAGCCCAAGAAGAAGGAAGACCAAAAUGUGAUGCUUCAUUCCUUCUUAGAAGGGGGAACAAAAUACUCAUGGGAGGAAAUACAGGAACAAAGAGUGGAGAGGGACUGAAGAAAAGGUCAUCCAGAGACUGCCCCACCUGGGGAUCCAUCCCAACUGCAGCCACCAAACCCAGUCACUUUUGCUGAUGCCAAGAAGUGCUUGCUGACAGGAGCCUGAUAUGUGUGUCCCCUGAGAGGCUCUGCCAGAUCCCUACUGAUACAAAUGAGGAUGGCUGUAGCUAACCAUUGGACUGAACAAGGGGGCCCCAAUGGAGGAAUUAGAGAAAAGACUUACGGAGCUGAAGGGAUUUGCAACACCAUAGGAAGAACAACAAUAUCAACCAACCAAACCCCACCAGAGCGGAAGCUAAACCAUCAACCAGUGAGUACACAUGGAGGGACCCAUGACUCCAGCCACAUAUGUGGCAGAGGAUGACAUUGUCCAGCAUCAAUGGAAGGUCGUAGGAAGGCUUGUUUCCCUAAUGUAGGGUAAGGCCAGGGUGUUAAGGUUGGAGUGGACAGGUGGGAAGGGGAGCAUCCUCAUAGAAGCAAGGACGGGGGGAGGACAUGUGGGAGAGGAGGGAAAGGGGAUAACAUUUGAAAUGUAAAUACAUAGUAUCCAAGGAAAAUAAAAAAAGAUUUAUGUAUUCAUUUGUCUUAUGAAUGUGACUACACUUGCUCUCUUCAGACACACCGGAAGAGGGAACCAGAUCCCAUUUCAGAUGGUUGUGAGCCAAUGAUGUGGUUGCUGGGAAUUGAACUUAGCAUUUCUGAAAGAGCAGUCAGUGCUCUUAACCGCCGAGCCGCCUCUCUAACUCCCAAUUUGAUGUCCUUAAUCACAGAUUGAAACAAGUCUAUUGAUAUAUGGUAAAACUCAGUGAUUUAAUAAGGUGGAAUACUGUGUUCAAAUGCUCCUUUAUACUGGAAUAAUAAAUUUGUGAUUUGGA